UACUUGUAUGGAUUCUUUGAUCAAGCAUGGAGGGCAUGUAUGUCCCAAGAUGAAGCGGAGGAAUUAGUGGUGAAGGCAGUCUCUCUUGCUAUUGCUAGAGAUGGUGCUAGUGGAGGUGUUGUUCGCACUGUCACUAUGAACUCAGAAGGGGUUUCAAGGAAGUUCCACCCAGGAGACACCCUUCCUACAUGGCAUGAAGAGUUGGAGCCCCAGAAUUCAUUGCUUGACACACUGAUGCCAGAGGACUCACAAUAAGACCAUUGUUUCAUAAGCCAAGAAACGCUAGCAACAAUCAACAUUUAUUUUAUUUUUAGUGGGAUUGGAUUGUUCACCAUGUUUGAACCUUUUUUUUUUUCGGGUUUUAACUCAUUUCUGUUGAUGAAGGCUGUUUGGUGCUUCGUAGACCAUGCUUCCUUUCCUCUUUUAA